UGGGGAAUAUUGGUCAAUGGACGCAAGUCUGAACCAGCCAUGCCGCGUGGAGGAUGAAGGUCCUCUGGAUUGUAAACUUCUUUUAUCUGGGAAGAAAUGGUUGCUUUCUAGCGAUCUUGACGGUACCAGAUGAAUAAGCACCGGCUAACUCCGUGCCAGCAGCCGCGGUAAUACGGAGGGUGCAAGCGUUAUCCGGAUUCACUGGGUUUAAAGGGUGCGUAGGCGGAACAGAAAGUCCGUUGUGAAAUCUCCGAGCUUAACUCGGAAAUUGCGGUGGAUACUAUUGUUCUUGAAUACUGUUGAGGUUAGCGGAAUAUGUCAUGUAGCGGUGAAAUGCAUAGAUAUGACAUAGAACACCAAUUGCGAAGGCAGCUGGCUAAACAGAUAUUGACGCUGAGGCACGAAAGCGUGGGGAUCAAAC
rnacentral:rRNA from 1 species